GUCACAUUCAAGUGCAUUUCCCAUAAAGAAACUCGACAAAGACUAAACUCUUGUAGCAAUACUUCAUAAUCACACCAAAAGCUGUCUUUGAAAUGUGUAUCAACUAGUCAUCCUUAUCAAAUGUCAUGGCAGAAAAAAGGCCUCCUAAUUUUGUUGGUCCUGAUCUCCCUGCAUUGCUGCAAAAACGCUUAAGAAUAAGCAGUUCUGAAAUUUCGAAUGUCUACAGUGGAACUCAGUCUGUUUCAUCAGAUUUAGAAAGUGAUUCCUGCAUCGGUAAAUUGGGUAACAAUGAAAUGCAGGAAGAUAGUGGCGACGAGGAUUCAUACACGAAGAAAACGGAGGACGAUGAAAACCAGGAAGAUACUGAUGACGAUG